GUCAGAGGUUCGAAGGCGAUCAGAUACCGCCCUAGUUCUGACCGUAAACGAUGCCACCUGACGAUCCGCCAGGGUUACUACCAUGACUCGGCGGGCAGUCCCCGGGAAACCCAAGCCUUCGGGUUCCGGGGGAAGUAUGGUUGCAAAGCUGAAACUUAAAGGAAUUGACGGAAGGGCACCACCAGGAGUGGAGCCUGCGGCUUAAUUUGACUCAACACGGGGAACCUCACCCGGCCCGGACACCGCGAGGAUUGACAGAUUGAGAGCUCUUUCUCGAUUCGGUGGGUGGUGGUGCAUGGCCGUUCUUAGUUGGUGGAGCGAUUUGUCUGGUUAAUUCCGAUAACGAACGAGACUCUAGCCGGUUAAGUAGCCCGAGCGGUUUUUGAUCUUUGCCGUUCAUCCUCGUUCGACCUUUCGCGUCGUCCUUUCCUUUUGUUCGGCCCGUCUCCGUCGUUUUUUUUUCCGUUUCCUCUCGUCUUCCCGAUCGUCCGUCGUCCCGUCGACUCGUUCGACGGGUGCCGACGGUUUUCGUGGUUUUCGAGGGGCUUUCGGUUGAGGGCGGCGGAGCGGUCCGUUCAGGGUCGGGUAUACGCUGGGCCGUUUCGAGGUGAAAGCAUAACCGAAGGCCGCCGGCUUUUAAGGAAGCUUCUUAGAGGGACGAGCGGCGUUCAGCCGCCCGA
rnacentral:rRNA from 1 species